rnacentral:miRNA from 1 species
ACCUAGUACCGGACAAGACACUUCAUAGUACAACGAAUCCGGACAUGCUUCCUGUCUAAAUUCGUUGUACUAUGAAGUGUCACAUCCGGUCCUA